GGUUCUAUGGUGUAAUGGUUAGCACAUGAGGUUCUGAGUUCCAUCUGGUCCUUCAGUUCCAAUUCCUCAUGAUCCCGGUUCGAUUCCGGGUAGGACCU
rfam:Magnaporthe oryzae 70-15 chromosome 4, whole genome shotgun sequence.